AGUGAACGCUGGCGGUAGGCCUAACACAUGCAAGUCGAACGGCAGCACAGUAAGAGCUUGCUCUUACGGGUGGCGAGUGGCGGACGGGUGAGGAAUACAUCGGAAUCUACUUUUUCGUGGGGGAUAACGUAGGGAAACUUACGCUAAUACCGCAUACGACCUACGGGUGAAAGCAGGGGAUCUUCGGACCUUGCGCGAUUGAAUGAGCCGAUGUCGGAUUAGCUAGUUGGCGGGGUAAAGGCCCACCAAGGCGACGAUCCGUGGCUGGUCUGAGAGGAUGAUCAGCCACACUGGAACUGAGACACGGUCCAGACUCCUACGGGAGGCAGCAGUGGGGAAUAUUGGACAAUGGGCGCAAGCCUGAUCCAGCCAUACCGCGUGGGUGAAGAAGGCCUUCGGGUUGUAAAGCCCUUUUGUUGGGAAAGAAGAGCAGCAGGUUAAUACCCCGCUGUUCUGACGGUACCCAAAGAAUAAGCACCGGCUAACUUCGUG
rnacentral:rRNA from 1 species